GGGGGUGUAGCUCAUAUGAUAAAGUGCUUGCUUUGUAUGUGAGAGGCAUGAGGUUCAAUUCCUCGCACCUCCA
rnacentral:tRNA from 1 species